UUUUCGCUUGGAAUCUACACUACAUAAAUAUAUAUGGGGAGGUACUAGCUCAAAAUCGGUUUUACAGAGAAAGCUGCAGGAAUUUCAAACAGGCACUAGGAAACAGACUGAGAAACCAGAG